rnacentral:lncRNA from 1 species
AGAGAGGGAGAAAAACCCCCACAGACGGUGCUCUUACCUCUGGCCUGUCCUCCCCAGGGCCACCUGUCCCCUCAAGGCGGUUUCCCCCUCUGUGUCCUGGCAGACAGAUGAUGUGAUGGAGUGGCAGAGCCUGCCCUGGGCUUCUCAGCAGUGCACAGCUCAGAGCGCACUUUGGAGUCAGCCAGCCCUGAAUACGGGGCUCAUGGACCCUCCGUGUUGUCACCUGUGGCAUGGGAGGCAGCAGUACCCCUUCCCAGGGCGGCAGGGAAGAUCAGAUGAAGGAGCUCAGGUAAAAAGGUGGGCAGCCCACCUCUGCACACAGCGGAUCCCGGCACCCAGCGGAUCCCGGCACACAGCGGAUCCCGGCACACAGCCAAUCACAGCACACAGCCGGCAGCAGUGAGGGGAACUCUUCAACAUCACCAGAACCCCCUGCCCUGAGAAAGGGGCUCCUGGGCCGACAGGGAAGGUCUGCCUCCUACUCUGGAGGGGCCGCUUGGGGACAGGCCCGGACUGUCUCCUCACAGCCACCUGCUCCCUGUCCUCCCUGCGCCUUCCCUAUCUGGCCGCUGCUCAUCCAGGAAGGUCGGGGGUGUCGGGACCUCCCUCCUGGGUCACGCGCUAGGCCUGCCUCAGAGCAAAGGCCACGCACCGGCACCCCGCGGGGCCCUGGUCCCGGCGCACCAGGCUUCUCAGCCCUGCAGCAGCAGUGCCUGGCUCUGGCACACGCUGCACCAGCUUCCUAUUGCGUGCUGUGGUCCCAAGGCGCGUGCUUUGCAGCAAAUGUGUGACUUGGCGUUCCCCGGAGUGCUCGGAAAAUGGCCUUGUCUCUGGUCGUUCCCGUUCAAGAGCAGGUACCCGGGGUGCUACAGGGAUCACGUUUUCCAGGAUCGGUUUUCUGACUGAUGGGUGGGCAGCCCCCGCUCCCUGAGCAGGGUUAGGUGCCCCCCUAAUGUCCAGUGUUAACUGUGCCAGCCUGAGUCCCUGAGCCCCUGAGCCCCGCGUGCCCCCUAGGGAUUGGCCUCAGCCUGGGGUGAGCUGACCCCAAAGACACUCUGCCCAAUGCAGCCCUGCCCUUCACUGCUUCCUGUUGCUGCUGCUGGGCAGAGUGGGCCUGGCACCCAGCAGAGACGUCUGACUGCCGCACAUUCUCCACUGGCUUCUGCUUCCAUCCCUGGGGUGAUGUUGAGGGAGACACAGGGGAUGCAGAGCCCUGUGGGGCCACCUCUGUCCCUCUGCAGGGGGCAGGGCUGGGAGCUCCAGGGGAGAGCCCUGUCCAUCUUGUCUGCUCUCUUCCGGAAGCCCUGGCCUGGGGAUUCCCGUCUCUGAGUGGAAGGCGUGAAGGCCCCUGCCUUGAACAUGGACGGCUGGUGGGUCCCCAGUCCCUAUUUCCGCUCAUCCUUGGGGCUGAGCACAGGCCCAGUGGUGGGGGAUAAAGACCCCUCAGAUCCCUUCCCCACCCUGCAACCCCUUGCACAACCCUGAGGUCACUGUCCCGGAGGGAGGGCAAGGGGCUCCCUGGUGAUGGCUUCUUGCAUCCCUCUCACUUGCCUCCUCCACAUCCCCUGGGCAGGAUGUGGGUGCAGCGUGUGUUCAUGGAGGGAGGAGGCCGUAAGCCUCCUGGGGGACACAUUAGUGUGUGUGUUUGUUUGUGUGCGCGCGUGCGUGGGCUCCUGCUGCCUCCGCAGGGGACAGGCCCAGCCAGCUACUGAGUGAGCAGCCUGCGGCAGCCCUGACUCCCUGGGAGGACCUCCAGGGUUCCAGAAGCAACAUGCAAAAUAACAUCAGUUCAACAAGCAGGUGCUGGAGUCCUUGCCCCCAGGCCUUCCGGAAGACACCCCAGGACGUCACACCCAGCCCAGAACAGCCCCACUCUUUGCAUUCCUUCCACGAUGUUCACUAGGCAUUACUGCGUGCUGGUGGCCGCUCUGGGUGCGGGGGCACAUGUGUGAAGGAAAGAGAUGAAGCUCCCUGCCGGGAGGAUCUGACCUCCCAGCAGUCUUAUGGGAUAUGGGUACAGAGGACCCAGAAUGAUCACCUCAGGUCACCCAAAGAGGAAGGAAUAAUGUCAUCAACCAGCUCCCGAAGAAGAUAGGAGCAUGUGCAGUCGGCACUGGCAAAAUUUAAGCUUAAAGAGAGAUCCUCUCCAGCCUCAAAGAACUGACUUUGGAUCAAGACUUCUCACUAAAGGAAGGUUCUGGCCAGCUCAAAUGUCUUGUACUCCAGAAUCUACAAUAAAGAGACAGUUAAUGCCUUUUGCAGGAACUGGAAGUAGGUUUCCAGGUACCUACUGGACUU